UACGGAGGAUGCGAGCGUUAUCCGGAUUUAUUGGGUUUAAAGGGUGCGUAGGCGGAUCGAUAAGUCAGUGGUGAAAACCUGCAGCUUAACUGUAGACUUGCCGUUGAUACUGUUGGUCUUGAGUAUGGUCAAGGUAGGCGGAAUGUGUAAUGUAGCGGUGAAAUGCUUAGAUAUUACACAGAACACCGAUUGCGAAGGCAGCUUACUGGACCAUCACUGACGCUGAUGCACGAAAGCGUGGGGAUCGAACAGGAUUAGAUACCCUGGUAGUCCACGCCGUAAACGAUGAUCACUCGCUGUUAGCGAUACACAGUUAGCGGCUAAGCAAAAGCAUUAAGUGAUCCACCUGGGGAGUACGGCCGCAAGGCUGAA
rnacentral:rRNA from 1 species